rnacentral:rRNA from 1 species
AUUGAACGCUGGCGGCAGGCCUAACACAUGCAAGUCGAGCGAGCGGCGGCCGGGUGAGUAAUGUAUGGGGACUGCCCGAUAGAGGGGGAUAACUACUGGAAACGGUAGCUAAUACCGCAUACUAUCGGAUAACCCAUAGGGGAUUAGCUAGUUGGUGAGGUAAUGGCUCACCAAGGCGACGAUCCCUAGCUGGUCUGAGAGGAUGAUCAGCCAACCUGGGACUGAGACACGGCCAAGACUCCUACGGAGGCAGCAGUGGGGAAUAUUGCACAAUGGGCGCAAGCCGGAUGCAGCCAUGCCGCAGGUAUGAAGAAGGCCCUAGGGUUGUAAAGUACUGUCAGUCGGGAGGCGUUACCGACAGAAGAAGCACCGGCUAACUCCGUGCCAGCAGCCGCGGUAAUUC